CCCCUCCAACUUUGGCUUUCAUUUUUGACUCUCCACUCCUUCCACCACUCACUCACACUCCUCUCCUACCUCUUCCCCACGAGCUGCUGCUCCCCCAAGGCUCCAUGGCCGGCCAUGGCCAUGGAAACCUCUCCAAGAUGCAACUCCCUCCUCCCUCAAGCUUCCCCUCACCAUGAGAGCAUCCCUCUCCCUCUCUUCUUCCCUAAUCUUUGAUGAAUCCAGCUCUCUUUCUCCUUUCUCCUCUCACUAGAUUGGAUCUUGAUGCAGGUGCAUGUUGGUCCAAGCAUGGAGAAGGUUGAGCAAUUCUCAGAUCUGAAGCUCUUGACCAAAAUCCAAAUCGAGUGAUUCAAAGUUCUCCGGAUAGGUAUUGAAAAGAUCUACAACUUGGCGUUGGUCUCAUCCUCAAAUUCGUUACGGAUUUGCCGUGAUCAAGAUCUGGUCAGAUCUGAUUUUGUCGAAUUAAACCAGGAGCUUGGAGAAGAAUUUUUGAAUGAACCCAAUGGGGGGAUACUUAGUUUGUGCCAUGGUGAUACCUAGAGAGGCAAUUGCUAAGUUGUGAUACUCUCAUACCUUUACUAGAUGCGAACAAUUCCGGAGAAGAAGAAGAAGUGGAAUCAGGAUGCGGAGAUUAUUUAUAUUGUCGGAAUUCUUAUAUUGAUGGAGUUGAAGAAGUACAGGGACAAAUAAGCCAAGGCAAGCCAUCUUUUGAUCUCUGAUUUGGUGUCUAGUUGGAUGUCAUUUGUUGAUGUCCAAAGCACCUUAUUUCUAUGUGUGUUAUUCUCUCUAUUUAUGCCAUCUAUGUGUGAUUGCAAGUGGGGUACUCCCUAUUGGUGAUACUCCACUAUUGUCCUUGUGUUAUGGGAUGCAUGGUAUCAUAGCCGUGCUAUUCCACUUGGUUAUCUUGUGUGCUCAACAUGAGCAUGCUCCAUCUCAAGAUAGUAACUUACAUCACACCCACCACUUGUGUAGUAUAGAGGUAUCAAUGUCAUGAUCUUGGUGUAUUCUCAACUUGAGAGGAGUAUGCCGUGUACCCAUUGGAGAGUAUGUUGGAUAGUGAUACUCCACUAUCUAAGUUAUAUUUUUAGCACCACCAAUCUGAAAGUAUAAUCCUUCUUGUGUUGUCUUAAUACAUGCUUACCUUAAGCAAGUAUGAUCCACUCCAUUACCACCUUUUUACACCGUCUAUGGCGUGAUGACUCUCAUCUCGGCCGUAGUGCAAUAGUAGUUCAACUCAUGAAACUAUAGGUUGGGAACCCCUCAAGGCUUACCUUGUUGUAAAUGUUUUAUGAAAACCUUGGGUAAGUUAACUCUACCCGAGAGAAGGUUUUUGGAAGAGCAAAUGUUUGAACAAGGUUGUUCGGAGAAAUAUGGUGGUUGUUGGCAAGUAAAGGAAAUGUGGGUGAAAUGUUUUUCAAAGGAGCACUGCGUAUAAGUGUACACCAGCCCAACUUUUAUCGCGCAACCACUCUACCCUGGUGUGGGACGGGGCUUAGCCCGUAGUUUGUUGAAGCUGGCAGGAGCACCCUUCACAACUUUCUAGGGAGGGUCACGAUGACCUCCGACGCCGGGUUGCGCUCUGGAGGAGGCAAUACACUGUA